rnacentral:misc_RNA from 1 species
AUUUUGUCGCUUAGAAAUCACAGUCAACGAUUGGAAAGAUUUUGGGAUGGAUCCAGAGGCUGCAAAGACCGCACGAGAAUCUCUGGAUUUGGCAUUUCACAUGUCAAACAUUCUGGACACUGGGCUCGAUCGACACAUGCUUUCAGUACUCAUUGCCCUGUGUGACUUGGGCUUAAAUCCUGAGGCUUUGGCUGCUGUCGUGAAAGAACUCGGAAGAGAAGACUCUUGCUCUCCACCAACCCCUACUGCUCCUUCAUCUGCCCCUUAAACAGGUUUCUGGCAUUAACCAACAUCAGCUUUUUCUCUUCUUUCCUUGUCCAUAGUUGUGUAUGCUGAGAAUCUGUGAUUGGUAUUUUGGUGUAGAAACAUCAUCUUCACACUUG